rnacentral:tRNA from 1 species
UCAGGUGCAGUUCAGUGGUAGAACUCCUGCCCGGUAAGCGGAAGGCCCGGGUUCGAUUCCCGGUUCCCGGU